GCCUACACCUAGUUUUACCAUCUCUUUCUUCUUUUUCUUUUUUCCACAAGAUUUGUUAACAUAUUCUCCACCAUAUUGCUGUCAUUUUUCCUCAUUAAAAUCAGCACCAAAUCUAAAAUCUUGAACUCCAAGAUUGAUCUCGAACAUUGCCAAGAAAGUCCCAUUGUCAUUUCUCUCAACUAGCUUGGGUAAGGUCUCUUCUUUCUUCAAUUUCUUAAUUAAUCUUAUCCAUUCAAAACCUAAAUUUCUAGAUCUCGAAUUUUGGGGAUUUUAAAUGAUUUCAAAGGAAUUUUUCCAGAAUUUAAUGAGAUCUCAAACCGUUUUAAAAUUUAGCCCCAAUUUUGGUCACCAUGGGUGGUGGUGCGUGCGCCUAUGUGCAAGAAAGGGGGUUGUUUUGUUUCUUGAUUCUUGCCUAUAUUUUUUCAUCAUUAAUUUGAGUUCUUGAACCCUCCUAAUCAUCUUUUAAACCCAUUUUAAUUAGGGAAAAAUGUUCUUGAUUGAUUAGCCAUUCGGAUCCCACAAAUCGUGAAGCGU
rnacentral:lncRNA from 1 species